AGCCAGGGGGCGUGGGGGCUGGGGCGGCAGGCCGAUCGGCAGGGCGGGGCUGCCUUCGGUGCUGGCCACUUCUCUCACCCAUCCCUCUUGUGAUUCAGGGUGGCAUUGUGUGUCCCGGAGUGCACGAGCGAGUCCCGGGAGAGCGGCGAGGCCGAGCCCAGAGCGCUGGGUGGCUUCGGCAGGGAAGACUCCCUUCCCCCGGCUUCAGGCUGCUGAGCCCUGAGCAGCGCUCAGAAUGGAAGCCAUCGCCAAAUAUGACUUCAAAGCUACUGCUGACGACGAGCUGAGCUUCAAAAGGGGGGACAUCCUCAAGGUUUUGAAUGAAGAAUGUGAUCAGAACUGGUACAAGGCAGAACUCAAUGGGAAAGAUGGCUUCAUUCCCAAGAAUUACAUA